AUCUCUGUAGAGUCUGCAUAUCAAUAAGCGGAGGAAAAGAAACUAACAAGGACUCCCCUAGUAACGGCGAGUGAAGCGGGAAGAGCUCAAAUUUGAAAUCUUCAAGGGUUCUACCUUGACGAAUUGUAGUUUAAAGAAGUGUUUUCGGUUAGAGGAGUAGUAAAAGUUCCUUGGAAUAGGACAUCAUAGAGGGUGAGAAUCCCGUAUUUGACUAUUCUUUCUAGCUUUGUGAUACACUUUCAAAGAGUCGGAUUGUUUGGGAAUGCAGUCCAAAAUGGGUGGUAAAUUUCAUCUAAAGCUAAAUAUUGGCGAGAGACCGAUAGCGAACAAGUACCGUGAGGGAAAGAUGAGAAGAACUUUGAAAAGAGAGUUAAACAGUACGUGAAAUUGUCAAAAGGGAAGCGUUUGACACCAGUGUUGUUUUUCCGAAAAUCAAUUAAAAAUUGAUUCAUGCCAGGUUGUAUUGACCUUAUCAGCUUGCAAUUUGGUUUUGGGUCUCUUUUUGAUGCACUUUUCGGUUAACAAGUCAACAUCAAUUUCCUUUGCUGUAAAAAGGUAAGAGGAAGGUGGCUUCAAUUUCGGUUGAAGUGUUUAUAGCCUUUUAUCUCUGCAGUCGGGGAGAUUGAGGUCUGCAGCGUAGAUCCUUCGGGGCUAGAUACAUUUAUGCUAAGUUAUAGCUUUUCAUAGACAGCUUGUUGACUAUGUUUAGUCAUGUAGCUUACUCGUAAGUGCUAUUUUACCUACGCUUAGGAUGUUGAGCGCAUGUCUCUCUCU
rnacentral:rRNA from 1 species